rnacentral:lncRNA from 1 species
UUUUGAAAAACAACCAAAAACUUUUUAACUCUUAUCAUCGCUGAGUCCUCGCCUCUCUUGUUGCUAGAACCCUAGCUAGAAGCAUUCCAUCGUAGGCUGCAGCCUCUCGACUCUUGAGCUUGUUUAUAAAACCCUAGCCAGGUACUUUGUAAUCGCAACUAGCUUCGAUAUGCUUAUGUAUCGGAAUGACCAGCCAACAUGUAUGAAGCUGCACAAUGGGAAAAAAAUGUGGUGUGAUAUAAAUCAACAAUAAUAAUAUAAGACCCCCCUAAAAAAACUAAAAAUUCUCCAUCCCCAUUAGGCAAGAUGCAAGGUUGUAGAAAACAUCACUUCUGGUUGUAUCUCAUGGAACCGUCACAUUUUUCCAUUUGGCCACUUGGAUGAGUUGGAUUGUUUAUUAGAAGCUUUCAAAUAGUUAAUGUUUUAUGUGACUGCCUUAUCUGGUACUGGUUUCACGUGUUCAACUUGGUUGAGUUGAGUUGAGCAUUACUUUAUAAUUUUGUGGUUUUAAGUUUUUGGUAAGAUAAUUCUAGGAUAGACUGAAAGUGGAAACAAAAAAUAACACAUGGAUUGGACGGAAUCAAGUUAUGAGGCAAUUCCAUUAAGUUUAAACCUACUUUUACUAUUUGAUAUCUUAAUAUUUCUUUUAUAUUUUUUAUUAAUUAAUUUCUUCAUGUUAAUGUUCAUCUUUCAUGUGUUGGCACAUUAGGCUACUAUGUCCAAUCUAAGAUAUUGAAGUUGUCAUUCCAUGUACAAUUCUGUAUUUAUUUCAUGUUCUAUAAUUUAUUUUGACAUCUAAAUUCAUAAUUAUGUGAUAAGCUAUGCAUAUAUGAGGCGGCGCCUCAAUGCUAGGUUUUAUACAUACGCCUUAGUGGUUUGAGGCGCACGUUUCGUUUUGAGGCGGAACUGUAUUGUAGAGGCGUACAUUUCUAUAUUAGGCGGGAUAAAGGGUUCAUCAUUUUUUAAGGUCCCACGGAUAUUAAAUUGGAUCUAAAAGGAUUGAAUUCUCGGAAGAUAAGGUACAUGGUAAUUAUGUGUUUAGUGGAUCAGAAAGUUGAAGGAGUCACAUUUAACCAAGGAUGUUGCUGCCAAGAAAGAACUUACAAGUGAAGUGGACCAAGGUAAAAUAAACUUACAAGUGAAAUAGACCAAGGUAAAUUAGUUUUAAGAAGCGGGUUGAAUAAUGACACAAAAUGGGUUUGAGAUAUUAUUGUUAGGUGUUUUGCACUGUACUUGAUGUGAGCUAUUUGUUAUUAGUCAUCUUUCUCCUUGUGUUUAGUAUUAGGUAAGAAAAAUGUGAUUAUUAUAGGGUAAGGGUGCUCUUUUUUUUU